rnacentral:rRNA from 1 species
GAUGAUCGCUGACCAACGCUUAAACAUGCAAGUGAACUUGAAGUAGGGGUUUUUAGUUGAUGUGGGUGGUGCAGCGGUGAGUUUCGCGCUUACGAGUUGCCUUUAGGUGUGCACAAGCAUAGAGUGAAUGCUUUACUGAUAUUAAGAUUUACGGCAAGUGGAAUAGUUUUGCUGUUUUACUGUAGAGAGUUUGGAGGCCAUUAGUUGGUGGAGGGUAACAGCCCACCUGGCGACGAUUGGAGACGGGCUUGGGAGGGAAAGUCUACAAGGGGCAGGAGUA